rnacentral:rRNA from 1 species
UGGGGAAUUUUCGCAAUGGGCGCAAGCCUGACGAAGCAACGCCGCGUGGAGGAUGAAGGUCUUCGGAUUGUAAACUCCUGUCGACCGGGACGAAUGCACUCGACCUAAUACGUCGGAAUGUUGACGGUACCGGUGGAGGAAGCCACGGCUAACUCUGUGCCAGCAGCCGCGGUAAUACAGAGGUGGCAAGCGUUGUUCGGAAUUACUGGGCGUAAAGGGCGCGUAGGCGGCCCCAUAAGUCUCGUGUGAAAGCCCUCGGCUUAACUGAGGAUCUGCACGGGAUACUGUGGGGCUCGAGUUCGGGAGAGGAAAGCGGAAUUCCGGGUGUAGCGGUGAAAUGCGUAGAUAUCAAGAGGAACACCUGAGGUGAAGACGGGUUGCUGGGCUGACACUGACGCUGAGGCGCGAAAGCCAGGGGAGCAAACGGGAUUAGAUACCCCCGUAGUCCCUGAGCGGGCUGGCAAGGCGCAU